rnacentral:lncRNA from 1 species
CCCACAUGGAAAGAUGCAGACACUCCUCCUUUGUCGACUUGGACAGCAGCCGCGUGAAGAAAAACAGCCUUCUCUGUAUGCUAAUAUUACUUACUAGACAAUUUGUACUUGUUCCUUUCACUAUUGAGUUGAAGAUGUCGAAUAAAAUUAACAGUACAUGUUAUAAGCAAGCGGUCAUUGCUAGAAAUUGUGUACACUUGUCAUAUACUCGGACAAUGAAAUUGCAGGAGAAAUGCAUUACUAGGAAGUAACUAGUAGAAAUAAAAAAUUCAAGAGUACAGAGAAUUAUUUUUAUCCUUAAGGGCCUAGAUGUUCAACCUUUGGUCUAAUUACCACGUUGAGCAUUUAUAAAUAGAUGUAACUUUAGAUCUACAAGAAUCAUCCAAG